rnacentral:rRNA from 1 species
CCUACGGGAGGCAGCAGUCGGGAAUAUUGCUCAAUGGGGGAAACUCUGACGCAGCAACGCCGCGUGGAGGAUGAAGGUUUUAGGAUUGUAAACUCCUUUUGUUAGAGAAGAUUAUGACGGUAUCUAACGAAUAAGCACCGGCUAACUCCGUUCCAGCAGCCGCGGUAAUAAGGAGGGUGCAAGCGUUACUCGGAAUCACUGGGCGUAAAGAGUGCGUAGGCGGGAUAAUAAGUCAGAUGUGAAAGCCUGUAGCUUAACUAAAGAACUGCAUUUGAAACUGUGAAUCUGGAGUGUUGGAGAGGUAGGUGGAAUUCUUGGUGUAGGGGUAAAAUGCGUAGAGAUUAGGAGGAAUACUAGUUGCGAAGGCGACCUGCUGGAACAUUACUGACGUUGAUGCACGAAAGCGUGGGGAGCAAACAGGAUUAGAUACCCUAGUAGUC